rnacentral:tRNA from 1 species
AGAAUAUGGUGUAAAGGAAACACAUGGAAUUUUGAGUUCUAUAAUGUAGGUUCAAUUCCUAUUGUUCUAG